rnacentral:lncRNA from 10 species
GAAGAAUUAGGUCACACAUGGGCUUGUAGGAUGAAUGUGGGGUUUUAUUGAGUGGUGGAGGUGGCUCUCAGUGGGAUGGAUGGGGAGCCAGAAGUGGGGAUGGAGUGGGAAGAUGAUCUUCCCCUGGACCCUGGCCAUCCAGCGGCCGAACUCCUCCCUGACCACCUUCAGUCAAACUCCUCUCAGCAUUCAGGCAUUCCUUCUCUUCUCUCUUUCCCUGCUGUAUCGUUCCACCAUUCAUCUGCUUGUCUCCUCGUAUUUUUGUCUGCCCGUCUGCUUCUGGAGCAGGUGGGAUAAACCUUGAACUGGAUUUAACCUCGAACAGUAUGGGGUGUUCUGCAGAAGCCGAGGCCCUUGGCCACAGAGCUAAACACAUAUGCUUGAAGUGGAAGUCAGAGAAACUGAAGAGAGGUCCACGAGAAAGUAGAGCAGUCUUGGACCUCAGCCGCAAGGUGUGCAAGCUACAAAAUGACUGCUGCCUCCCUUCUGCCCUCCACAUCUCCCACAGCAGGUUCAUAGAUACACCCUUCAAGGCUGUCCCUCCAAAUGAGAAGAGCAUGAACUAUGUGGUUGUACAGCUUGGGUGUGAAUUCCAGCUUGGCCACUAUGUGACUUUGGAAAAAUUACUUAACUUUGUGUGCCUAAUUUCCUCAUCGGAAAAACAAAGAUAAUAAAACAUACCUCUUGGGGUUGUUGUACGGAUUAAAUGUGCCUGUGUAUACAGAACCCCUAACACAGUCUCUCAGAUGUUGUAACUGUUUAACAAGUAGUGAUGUGAUUAUUGUUGAUAAUGUUGAUGGUAAGGCCACUUACCCCACCAUGGGUUCAAUUUUAGGAAGCUCAUCGUUGCUGCAUGGCUGAGCCCUGUCUGCAAUACCGCUAGUAUCAGUAAUAAAAUGGAUACUUUGAUCUCUAC